rnacentral:rRNA from 1 species
UACGUAGGGUGCAGGCGUUAAUCGGAAUUACUGGGCGUAAAGCGUGCGCAGGCGGUUUGCUAAGACAGGUGUGAAAUCCCCGGGCUUAACCUGGGAACUGCGCUUGUAACUGGCGAGCUGGAGUGUGGCAGAGGGAGGUGGAAUUCCACGUGUAGCAGUGAAAUGCGUAGAGAUGUGGAGGAACACCGAUGGCGAAGGCAGCCUCCUGGGCCAGCACUGACGCUCAUGCACGAAAGCGUGGGGAGCAAACAGG